AUUUCAACUAGUAAGAACUCAAUUCUUGAUAUCUGUAAUGGUUUUGUCGCCCUUUUAACAUUUAAAAACAUGAAUUGUUGAUAUCAACAAUUCAAUUCUUGAUAUCAGAAAUGCAAUUUUCACUAGUGGAAAUGCUGAUUGUUGAUAUCAGGAAUUACGCUUCUUGAUAUCAACAAUGACGUCAUCACUCGCAGAAAUACAUUUAUGAUAUCAAAAAUGAAAUCACAACUAGUAAAAAACAUACUUCUUGUUAUCUGUAACUUAAUUCUUACAUGUUAAAAUUUAAUUUUCACUAGUAAAAAUUCUUAUUGCAGAUAUCAUGAAUUCCGUUUAGGAUAUGUGCAUAAUAAUGAAUUCCUUUUCGGAUAUGUGCAUAGUAAUGACGACUGCUUGUUAAUAUUCAAAUACGAGCGUGAUGUUUUUACGUGCUCAGAACUGUGGUGAACUGUGGACAAACUGGCAAUGGCAAAGGAGGUUUUUAGGCAAAUUAAACGCUUCACAAUUCAGUUUUCAGACCAUACAAUGCAAAUGCAAAACCAAAAAAUUGAAACCAGGCGUUCAUUUUCCUUGUUUUACGGUUAGGCCUACAUCAUCGGUAGCAGCCGCGCCGUAGAGUUACAGCAGAACAGACCGUUUGUGAUGCACUUUUAAAAGCACAAAGGGGAUUCAGAUCCUGAAGACUCCAUGCAAUCUCGCUGUACCCUCACCGUCUCUGCUCCUUGGAUUUUGCAAGCUUUUCCUUGCUCCUUAUUUUUAAUAAACCUUCAAUAAACA